GUCCUUUCACAGACACUGACACAGUCAGCAUUAUGAUGAUGUCAAACAUUCUACUGCUGGUGAUGCUGGGACUCCUUGUACAGGGAUCAAUGGCAGAUAUAGUUCUGACUCAGUCUCCAGCAGCUCGGUCUGUUCAGCUGGGAGAGACUGUCUCUAUCAGCUGUACAGCCAGUGAGAGCGUUUACAACAAUCUCCACUGGUACCUGCAGAAACCUGGUCAGGCUCCAAAACUUCUGAUAUAUAUUGCCACAAAUCGCCAGACUGGGAUUCCUGAUCGUUUCAGUGGGAGUGGAUCUGGGACUCAGUUCACACUGAAAAUCACAGGAGUCCAGGCUGAAGAUGCAGGAGAUUAUUACUGUCUGCAGCGCUAUACGCCGAUCACACAGUGUUAUAGAGCCGUACAAAAACCUCCCUCAGUCAGACUGCACAGAGACUGCACUGCAGCUGGGACCUACUGCAUGUGCUGAGGGGGGAGGCACUGGUCUGUGACCUAGAGGGGCUCUACUCAAAUUCUGAGCUGUUUUGUGCAUUAAUAACUAUCAUAUUCUACUAUUUAAUACAAUUUCUCUAAAUGUUAAUGUGAGCACAUCCAAACCUUCCUGUUGUGAUCCAUUUUAAUUAUAUUAGCAUAAACCUUUCAUUGAAGGAAUACACUUGAGAUACUGGAGCUUA